rnacentral:lncRNA from 1 species
CUGGCGUUGCACUGCUUUUCUGUAAUUGAUUGAUACGAGAGUGAACCAAAUACUUUCUGUGAAGGUCUUCCAAGGGAGAAGAACCCAACUGAAGAAGAGAAAAAGACCCCGGAGCCACCUGAAGUCCUCAUGGACAUUCUCAAGAACAUGCAUGCACUACACGGUGGGUGUAUUUCACUCUGCGGUAGCCGUGGGACUCGCACACCAGAGGGUUUUGCUCCACGCCUGGACGGGCUGUAGCCUGCAGAGCAGGAAGGGAUCCAUCAGAGCCUCGCCGCAGCCACGCUGGGUUUCAGCCCUUGCGGGCGCUGCCGAGCCCCAGGGAUGGUCCAGGGCCUCUGCGGCCAGUGGUGGCCACAGCCGGGUGCCAGGGGCAGCCGCUGCCCCACUGGGACCAUGAGGACUCAGAGCUGUUUGCGCAGAGGUCGGGGACAGAUUUGGGGUCCUGGCACGUGCUGCACUUGUGUCCAGCUGCCCCACAGCUCUGCUGGCCCAUUGGGCGAGUUCCAGGGGAGAGCGGGGUCCCAAGCAAGGCUGGCUGCCCUAUCCUAGUCCUGCAAGUCAGCUGGAGAUGCUGAUUUGGAAGCUUUUGGGGCUCUGCUCGAUUUCCCCUCUGCAGAGCAACAGCUGGGAUGGGAGGAAUUGUUUCUCACCCUCAUGGGUGUCUCGGAGAAGUACUGCCUCCUGAAGGUGCCACCUCCCUGCUGGGGAAGGCUUCCAUCUGACCCAACUGUCCCGCUUCCUUUCCCUAGUGAUGGCCCAAGAGGCUGUGCAGGAGGUGGCGUUUCCAGAAGAACACAGCAACUCCCUGCCAGUCCCGGGUGGAGCGACAGAGGCCAUGCCAGAUGAAAGUGGUGGCAAUGGUCAUCCUGCUUAUCCACUGGAUCUUGGCAUGCAUCCCUUAGGGCUUCCUGCAGGUCUUCCAAGGGAGAAGAACCCAACUGAAGAAGAGAAAAAGACCCCGGAGCCACCUGAAGUCCUCAUGGACAUUCUCAAGGAGAUGCAUGC